CUCUCUCUCUCUCUCUCUAGGAUGAACAACUUGAGUGAUGAACUGACUGCUGAAAAGACGAGACACAUUCAAUUGCAGCAACAGCUGAAUGCUGUAUCUGGGCAGGAAGAAAAUGGGGACGGAAGAUAAGGGGUGCCUGAAAACCUGAAGUUGUGAUUAGUGUAAAGUGAAUCCAUGUACAUCCGGCCAAUGAGCGGUAGAUCGUGUCGAAUGUGUUCUAUCCAACAAAUUUUUUUUCUCUAUGCUGAACGGGAAUUGUUCAUUGGCUGCCGGUAAAAGUAGAUGCAUGGAGAAGGUAACAAUUUGAUGUUCCUGAAUCUCUUCUCCCAGUGUACCUAAUAAGUUCCCUCACGGAUUUCGGCCACUUCAGAAUUCAGACAAGUAAUAAUCGAGCUUAUGGAUUCAUCCGGAUGUGAUUUGUCCUGUUCAAAAAUGGAAAAUAGGUGCUUCUCUGUAGCGAUCUAACUCCUGGACUGGUGGUCAAAUUGGUUCUACAGUUAUAUACAUAUAUAAUAGGGGUGUAUUUUAUAUUUAUAAGGUUAAAACAGACAUUGUGGCAUCAUUAUUUUUGUCAAAAUGGAUUUAUGAGCUUGUAUAUGAUGGCGGUAGAACGUAAUGCUGUUUAUUAUUUCAUUUAUACUAAUUGUGCUAUUCCUAUUCA